CUACUGUGCUCAAUCCGUGAUAAAAUGUUAAGUCAUCAAAAAACCUAAAAACAGUGACGGGUUGAUCGUGAUGAAUUGGCAUAUUAUCAUUUUUUAAUUUUUAAUUAGUGAUGCCAUAUUUUAUCAUCGCUAAAAUUAUUAUUAGUGAUGAGAUGGUUAUCACAAAAAAUGAUUACAAUUUACAAGGCAAUUAAAAUAAAGAAAAAAAUAGCAGUAGAUAAGGCUUGGCAAGUUUCGAACACACGACCACCAGGAUGUAUAGGUAAGGUUGUUGACCAACUGGCCAAGAUAAAUCAUCUAAAUGAGGUUCUCUUAAUCUUUUAUAGUACUUGUGUGAACUAGGAGGUCAACAGCCCGGUUGUCCUCCACUAAGCUCUAAGCCACCACCCCUGCAGUGCUGUGGUAGUAUGUGUUGGGAGCUGGAGAACGGCCAGUGAGCUCGGCCCCAUGACCGGGAGUGCUGCAAGGAGUGUAGCGAGCUCGACUUGCAGCAGCGCGAGAAUGGGCAGUGAACCCGAACGGUCCAGUUGCUUGAGGAGCAAUGGCUACUUCGAUCUGAGCAUCCCUUAUAGAUCUGCAAUUUUUGUUUUUGGAUCGCACAUGCCCAUCCAAUGGCUAGUUCAACUUAAUUUUUAUACUAAACUUUGUACUAAUUUUCUUUAGUGCAAGUCAAUUUGGCAUAUCUGAAUUGUUUAUGAGCCAUCACACAUAUACAAAAUUAUCGACUAGUGCAAAAUCUGGUGAUGGCUGAUGAGCUCUAGCUCCUCCAUAAAAAAUACCACAUGUAUAUUGCUUACAUAUGGUACGAGGGUACUGAGCAAAAGAGUUUAGAUAUGUAAUAAGAAUUAAUCAACUAUUUUAGUAAGUCUAAAUUUGCAUAAACCUGAAAAAAAUUGUAUAUUAACUAUCAUAUGUAUCUUCAUCACUUUCUGUGUUAUUGUCAUCAUCUGUAUCCAUAUACUCAGCGCCGUCACUUUCAGAA